UUUGACAAACUUAUAAGAGGUCCAGCCUGCCCAGUGACUCUGUUCAACGGCCGCGGUAUCCUAACCGUGCGAAGGUAGCGUAAUCACUUGUUCUUUAAAUGAGGACUAGUAUGAAUGGCACCACGAAGGUUAUACUGUCUCCUUUUUCUAAUCAGUGAAACUAAUCUUCCCGUGAAGAAACGGGAAUAAAAAUAUAAGACGAGAAGACCCUAUGGAGCUUUAAACAAAUAUACACCUGCCUCUUUACCAAAAAUUUCAGAAGACAAGUAAUUACCCGGGCAUUUUGAUAUAGCGUUUUAGGUUGGGGUGACCGCGGAGCAAAAAAUAACCUCCGCAGCGAACGGGAGUAUUCCCUAAACCAAGGGCCACAACCCCAAGUAUUGAUAAAUCAACACCAAUUGACCCA
rnacentral:rRNA from 1 species